CGAUGCACUUGCAGCAUAUGGAGGUUCCCAGGCCAGGGGUUGAAACAAAGCUGUAGCUGCCAGCCUACACCACAGCCAAAGCGACGUGGGAUCCAAACCAAAUCUGUGACCUAAACCACAGCUCAUGAAAAUGACAGAUCCUUAACCCACUGAGCAAGACAAAGGAUCAAACCUGCAUCCUCAUGUAUGCUAGUCAGAUUCAUUUCUGCUGAGUCAUGAUGGGAAUUCCUGGAACCAGAUUCUUAAAUGCAGAAUGAAUUUUUACUGUCUGGAGGUGUCCAGAGGGGGGACAAUUUGAAAAUGUAGGUGAAGAAGAGUCUGGUCAUAAGAACCAUCCUUGCUGCAUUGGUUUGUUGACAUUGAAUAUAUGAGUAGUAUGAAGAUCAUGUGAAGAGAGAUAAAAAUAAAAGGAGAAAUCAAGUGUUCUGGCAAUCCCAAGACUCUGAAAUGCCUUUUCUUAUAGUUCCUGAUUGGUUGGGAACUCCACUAGGAUAAAGCUCUGUAAAUGGACAAAAUGGGCACUUUGGAGAGAGAAUUCCAUAGAUUUACAUUCUUCAGCACCUGAAAACCUUCCCUGUUUGGAGACUACCUUGAAUUUUUCAUGUGCAGGUAAACUUGUCUUGGGGGAAUGGCCACAGGUCAGUCCAGCAGGUACUAAGUAGCAAUGAAAGUUGUCCCAGCCAGAAAUGAUCUUACCUGAAGCUGAUGUGAACUAACAAAUGAUUUAGCAUUUAAAAGGGAUACUGCACUCUGAAACAUGUAAGACACUGAUGAAAGAAAUCAAAGAUGAAACAGACAGAUGGGAAGAUAUACCUCUUGGGUUGGAAGAAUCAAUAUUGUCAAAAUGUCUAUACUACAACAAGGAUGGACCUAGAGAUUAUCAUACUAAGGGAAGUUAGUGAAAGACAAACAUCAUAUGAUAUCACUUACAUGUGGGAUCUAAAAAAGAGGAUAUAUAUGAAUUUAUUUGCAGAACAGAAACAGAUUCAUAGACUUUGAAAACAAACUUAUAGUUACCAAAGGGGAUGGGUGGGUAGGGGGGAGGCAUGGAUUGGGUGUUUGGGACUGGCAUUUGCACAUGAGGCACAUGGAAUGAUUGGCCAACAGGCACCUGCUGUAUAGCACAGAGAACUCUACUCAAUACUCUGUGAUAAUCUAUGUGCGAAAAUAAUCUGAAAGAGAAUGGAUGUAUAUACAUGUAUAACUGAAUCACUCUGUUGUACAGUAGAAAUUAUCACAACAUUGUACCUCAACUAUACUUAAAUAAAACUUAAAAAAAAUAAAGGGAUACAAGGUGUGACAGCAAACUACCUUAAAGAAGGAGUGAUGGUUAAGUUCUGUGCUUUUUUCACUUGUGAAAUUAGCAAGUUUCUGAAGCUGCUUGGUUACCUACACACAGUUUGAUGUGAAAAUCAGGAGCCUUGAGCCAGUUUCCCAGCCAUAUGGCAGUGUAGACUUUAGCACUAAGAUGACCCCAAGAAAGUUACCUAUUCUUUAAUAUCAGGAAAGUCCUUGUUGGUCUAAAAGUCUAGACAGCAAAGCAUCAGCAUACUGCGUAUAAAAAAUGUUUGAGAAAUCAUUCUGGUGAAUGUGGGUGAAUACAGGGUUUUGCUAAGUUCAAUGUCCUUAGGAAUCCAUAUUCCACUGAAGGACAGAAUAUUGUUGAAGAAGAUCCAUGUGUGGUCUUGCUAUAGCCACUGUGCCUCAGUUGGAGGGGUGAGGGUAGGUGAUUUAUUUUAUCCAGUGGUUGUUUGGUCUUAACUUCUUGAUGCCUGAUGACUCAUGCACAGUUUAAGAUAGCUGGGCAGUGGUAGACAUAGAUUGAUUAUAAACACUGUCAGGAAGUAUAUCCAGAAAUACAAAAACAGUGGAGGAAAAUAUAGAGUGAUAGGAUUAUGUAAUUUAAAUUCCCAGUGGGCAGCUUUUCAUGCCAGAGAAAGAGGCUUUAAUCCCAAAGGGCCCAAGAUUUCAUAACAAAGAAACCAGUCCAAGGAUAUUUCUGGGUGUUGAGACUGAACUCAAGAUAUUGAGAAAUACUUCAUGGCUCCAGUAUAUUCUGUGAUCAUACUCUAAUAUUUUGAAGGAAAAGUAAAACACAUGAAAAUGUACAAUUUUCCUGAGGGAAACUGCAAAGCAGUGUUAUGGGAGGAGAAAACUUACUUUUGCAAAAAGAUGAUGCCUACACAGCCUUAGGAUUUAAGAAACUGAGGGGUUGACUUGAUUUUACUCUUAAAUGGGAAAGUAGCGUCUAGAAAACUAAUUAUUACUAGAGUUGAAAUGAUAAAGUUGAUAGAAAAAUACCAUUCAUGAGAUGUUACAGGAAUUAAAACAUAAUGCUUUGUCUCCUUAUGGGUUCAUCUCCUUAUAGAAAGGUCCUCUUGUGAGCUUUGAAAAUAAUGGCCUUGGGCUGAAUCUGUAUCCACUUUGUAGAGAUAAAGAUCUCAGUACCACUUUUGUAUUUUUAUAUGACAUUUCUUAAAUAAGUUUUUGUGUUGUAAUUUUCUACAAUUUUAGUUGUGCAUUGUUUUCAAUAUUGACUUAGUAUUAGCCUCUUAUGAAAUUGAAGUGUCCCUAAGCUGAAAGCUACCUCCCCUUCUCUCCCUUGCUUCUCCCACACAAAGGUGGUAGGAGUUAAUACAUUGAUAGAAUACAUGGAAAACCCUUCUUUCCUAUUAGGUAAUUACAAUAUGGUUAUAGAUGAGUAAUUCUUCUGGCAGACAAAUUUUAAAUGAUGAAAUAUGAGUAUGUACACAAAUAUACAUACAAAUAUAUUCAAUCAUUUGUAUAAAUGUGCAUUUAAAUGUUGACUUUGGGGAGCUUCUUACAUUAUCCAUACAGCACGUAUCCAUUUGAAAAGUUCAAGUGUUCCCGUUGUGGCACAGUGGUUAACAGAUCUGACUAGGAACCAUGAGAUUGCAGGUUCAAUACCUGGCCUUACUCAGUGGGUUAAGGAUCUGGCAUUGCUGUGAGCUGUGGUGUGGGUCGCAGAUGCAGCUCAGAUCCCAUGUUGCUGUAGCUCUAGCAUAGGCUGGUGGCUACAGCUCCAAUUUGACCCCUAGCCUUGGAAUCUGCAUAUGCCACCGGAGUGGCCCAAGAUAUGGAAAAAGACAAAAAAAAAAAAAAAAAAAAAGAAAAGUUCACAUGGCCCUAACUGUGCUCCACUAGUUUGUUCUCUCAGGGUAUCAGUUGAACUAAAUGAAAAUAUUUUAAGUAGGCAGUGCUCUUGAGGGAAACAUCAUAGUUAUUUAAAAAUCUCCAUAUCCUAGAAACAGAUUUGGAAAGCUUUGCUGAAGGAAAGCAAGCAUCCAUAGAGCAUGUAAGAUGGUUUGGGUCAUGGAUCCUUUUGGUUGAUGGCCUCUGGGCUUCUUGUGUGGGAUUGAGUGCCCUCCCUUUAUGACAUCUGGAGCCACACGCACAGGCAGCUGUGCUGCUUGUUUUAAUGAUCACUAUUUAAUGGCUACAGGUGCAUCUCAUGAGUGCAGCUGCCUGCCUCAGAUCCAGCAGAAACCAAGGCUCUUCCUCCCAUGUGUUCAGCUCACAUUCCAAGGAAAGCUGCUGAGGCAGGCCUCUGCUCUUCUUUACAGAGUCACAGGAUAAUUCUCCAUCCAAGCUCUUUUAAUUUAUAUUUUUCCCUUUGUGAUUCAGUUAAUUUUUUUUGCCCUAAAAUUUCUUCCUUUAGUUUUUUUUUUGACUAGAUAUUUAACAGAAAUGGAAGACUAUUUAAGAGUGCUUGGGUUUGUUUUUGUAGAAGGCAGGCACAUAUAUUUUUGUUAAAACUUUCUAAAUUAUUUUCUUGACAUUUUGUUUUUAUUUUAAGUGUAGUUGAUUUAUAAUCAUGUGCCAGCCUCUGGGGUGCAACAAAGUGACUCAAUCAUACAUGUAUAGAUAGAUUUUUUAAAAAAAAUAUUAUUUUCCAUUGUGGUCUACCCCAGGAGGCUGGAUAUAGUUCUCUGUGCUAUACAGUAAGAUCUUAUUGUCUAUCCAUUCUAAAUUUGCCUCAGUAAUCCAAAACUCCCAUUCCAUCCUACUUCUUCUCCCCUCCUCUUUGGAAACGUUUGUUCUCUGUGAGUAUGCUUCUGGUUUGUAGAUAGGUUCAUUUGCGCCAAGUUGGAGAUUCUGCAUAUAAAUGAUAUCAUAUGGUAUUUAUUUUUCUCUUUCUGAUUUACUUCACUUUGUAUGAUAAUCUCCAGUUGCAUCUAUGCUAUGAAUGGCAUUAUUUCAUUCUUUAUGGCUAAGUAGUAUUGUAUAUAUGUACUACAUCUCAACCCAUUCAUCUACUGAUGGACAUUUAAGUUGUUUCCAUGUCUCGACUAUUGUGAAUGGUACUGCUAUGAACAUAUGGUUGCAAGGCCUUUGGUAGUGGCAGUGACCCCAGGGAAGUGGUGGCAGUAGGUGGUGCUCCAUUGCAGUGCCCUCUAUGGCAGCCACCCCUGGGGUGACUGGGGUAGUAGGAAGUGCCUGGUCAUAGCACCCUCAGUGAUGUCUGUUCACUCCCACCUCUGGAAUCCAAGAUGGCUGUGGCAGUUUACACCUGCCCCCAGGGCAUGUUCCAGAGGUGCCCUGACACCUGAGAACCCACAUGUGCAGAGAGAAAAAGUUUCCUGUGGAUAUACCACCUCACCCUCUUGCACUCUGCAACAAUUGUGUCUUGUUGCUCUGGUGGGCCCAGGCAUCUUCCUGCACUCCCUCAGCUGUGGUACACAGCUCCCUAUCCCCCUCAGGCUAUUUCCACACAGCCAACCCUAGUCCUCUCCCCAGGACUGACCUCAGCACCUGGCCCGUCUUGAGAGUCUUAGGCUGUGGUGCACCUGGUGGUAGUUCUGAUCAUCUGUCCUGCUGUCUGUUCUGCACUCCUCAGGCCAGCUGAUGCACUCUUCUCUGAGGCUUUGAGGCCCCUCCAUCCUGGAUAAUCUUCUGCAACCCUUCCACCCUCAGUUAGGAGGCCUCCCAGUUGGCAGAUUCCUUUCCUCUUUCACAGCUCCCUCUCAGGAGUGCUGGUCCUGUCCUGAUUCCCUUUUUCUUUUCUUUUUCCUUUUGUUCUACCCAGUUAUGUGGAGGUUUUCAUGACCUUCUUGGAAGAUUUUGGUCUUCUGCCAUCCUUAAGUUCAUGUUCUAUGAGAAUCGUUCUACAUAUAGCUUUUUUUUUUAAUGUUUGUGGGAAAAGAUAAGUUCCAUGUCUGCUCAUCUGCUAUCUUGAUCCUUUCCCUUCAUGGCAUUUUAUUCAUCCCCAAAUUAAUAAAAACACAGAUCUUAUUUCUUAUUCUUCUAUCCUCUCUUGCUCUAUCUCCCCUGUGGUUCUAGUGACUUUCUCACUAGACUUUGGACUUGGACAUGUGACUUGCUUUGAUGAAUUGUGGGUGGAAUGAUAGUGAGCUAGUUAGAAGCCUGGUGUAUUUCCACUCUUUGUUCAUGAAAAAAACAUGCCAUCUCCUUUGACCUCUACUUUUUUCCUUAGAUGACUUUAUCAACAGGGCAGAAGACUAUUUUUGAAACAAUCUGGACAAGUCAACUGUUAGUUUAUUAGAACAGACAAUAGACAAUACAGUUUUAAUCAGAGAGGAUACAUAUAGGGAAGAAGUCUGUUAUGGGUGACCUCACCUUCUUGUCAGAGUGAACUAGAAAAUGGAUAGGUGCUUAUUAACUCAGGAAAACCAAUCUGACUGGCCAAACUGCCUUAUCUUGGCACAAGAGCUUUCUCUGACAGGGAUGAUUUUGAUGAAAUGAAUCAAAUCUCUUAAUAUGUUUGUAAGUUAUAGUGAAGCAGUAAACAACUGUAACAGAAGUGGAAUACCAAGUAGGAGCAGAAGCAGCCAGAGAGAAACAUGUUAAUGUCAGGUAUAAAAAUGAAGUUUAUCAGCUUUUCUGAAAAGGGCUGGGGUCAGGGCAACAUAUAAUGUGUUGCUAAAAGUACUAAAAGUACUGUGGAUUCUCAACAUCUUUGCAGCUACUGAAAUAGGUCCUAGCCUCCAUGAAGUCUGACUUUUAUGGAUUGCUGUUGCUGGAUCCUCUUAGAGCCUCAUUCUCUUAUUGCUGCACACAGAUUCACCAUACUGUUCCAUCACUUGAGGUCAUGUUCACCCCUCACAUUGUGUUGUGGGCAGAGACUCUAGCUAACACAGGUUCUAUUUGUACCCUUCCCUAUAACAGCUGCACGUUUUGACAUCUCAGAGCAUCAAAGAUUGCUUUUUAGGGACAGAAACCCAAGCUGCUUUACUUCCCUUCACUCCAUUCUUAGCAUUUAUUCUUGUAUACCUCCUUAUUUCUAAGAAAGCUUGGGCUGGUCUGGUGAUAAACAGAGGAGUAUAUGAGGUCAGUUGCAUCAUUUCUUCAAGACAAUUGGAACACAUCUAGAAUUGUUCUGCUGGCCUGGUUUCAGGAAGGCCUGAUCUGUUACUACAUUUCUUCUGAGCAGCCAUUUGGAUUUUUAAUAGAAUCAUUCUCAAGUCAGAGAUUCUUUCUCUCAUGGAAUGGAUAAUGCCCAGUGAGAGUUCCUUAGUGUGGGUAGGAACACUUUCAAUAAGACUCCCUAAAGCCCAUCAUACCUUUUAUUCAUUCAUCAUUGUUUUUGGUAUGAGUUUUUAGGCAACCACAAUGGGGAGUGGGUAUACAUUCAUAUCAGACAUGCUUUGCCAUGUCUUGAAUAUGAAAAUGUAGCAAAAUCAGAUGCCUCUUUUUUAAGGAGCUUAAAAAAUAUUCUUAGUGGAGAAAGUGAUUCAUAAUAUUUCUUGUCAGAGAUCCCUGUUUCCAAAACACACCUUAAUAUACCUCAAGAACAUAUGAUAUGUAUUUUUAAGAAACCUGCUUUAGGCAGUGUAAAUUAUACUCUUAUCUCUGAGGAUCAAGUAAUUAGGAAACUGGGACACAGUCUCAUUUGUCUUCCCAAAGAAACCUUGUAGAUUCUGUCCUCAUCUUUCUACUCAUCUAUUUUAACACUUAUUAUAUGCCAACCACUGCACUAAGUGCUUAAUAUGCAUCAAUUCAUUAUAUUACAUUGUAAUAUUGGUAGAUUUUUUGACUUUUAAAAAUGUAUCCUACAUGUUAUGCAUGUUAGUUAGGAACCAAAAAUAUAAUGAGUUAAAAAUUGCCAAAAUAGGAGUUCCCUUAUGGCACAGUUGGAUAAGGAUCCAAUGUUGUCACUGAAGUGGCUGGGGUGACUGUGGUGGCAUGGGUUUGACCCCUGGCCUGGAAACUUCCACAUGCCAUGGACGUGGCCAAUCCCCCCUCCCAAACCCCCCUAAAACCCCACAAAAAUUUCCAAAAUGAAUGUCAUUCAUUGAAAAGAUUUCUACUUUAGCUCUUCUUGUAAAUUACUUUUAGGUGAGUACAAAGUCACAUUUGAAUGUAUUUUAAAUGUUUGUUAACCUUAUUGUAUGUAGGACUUUAAUGGCCAUAACAUAUUUUAAAAAUUAUCUUAAAUACAGGGCUUAUGGUAAAAAAUGUGUAACAAAAAUUAUCCAGAGUUCCCAUUGUGGCUCAGAAUAUUAAGCACCCAGCACAGUCUCCAUGAGGUUGCAAGUUUGAUCCCUGGCCUUGCUCAGUGGGUUAAGGAUCUGGCAUUUCCAUAAGCUGAGGUGUAGGUCAGGGAUGCAACUCAGAUCCACUGUUGUGUGGCUGUGGCCUGGGACUCAGCUGCAGCUCCAAUUUUACCCCUAGCCUGAGAUCUCCCAUGUGCUUCAGGUGAGGUUGUGAAAAAAAAAAAAAAGGUAAAAUAAGCCUUUUUAAUCAGUGGAUUCCUGUUUUGGUUUGAAAUCCUGUUUGGUGCCUUUCAAACAAAAUGAAGCAAUCAAAUCUUCUCUGGAAAUUAUGUAGAAACCAAAGCCCAUGGUAGAAUUUUACUUGAUUCUAGGGGUUUUAGUAAUAAUUAGGGUCCUGAAAGCAAACAUCUCGAAAUGAAAAUUUCCCAUAUUUAGAAGCUUUUUGUGUUUUGCUUUAUAAAAUAUCCUGGGGUAAGUGUUGUUAUUAGUUUUAGUUUUUUCACAGUUGCUCUACUAGUUGCUGAACACAUGUAAUUUUCACCUCUUGUAUUUGUAUAAUGUUUAACAGCUUAUGAAUCACAUCCACACAAAUUAUAUCAUAUGGCCCCUGCCAUAACCUUGUGUGGUAGAUGGGCUGAAUGGCAUUAUUAUGCAUGCUUUUUUUUCUACUAGUGAUUGAAAGGUUUGGAGGGUGAAGCCAGUGAGUAGUUUAACAUAAUCCUAUCCUGUUGAACCUGUAUUACUUUCUUGGUCAAAUAAAAAUCUUAACACUUAUUCCAUAGUACUGUUGUUAGAAUGAAGUGAGAUGAGGGCUAUGAUACAUAACAUCUGCCAAACACAUAGUAUGUGCUCCAUCUUUGUUUUCCUCCU
ensembl:lncRNA